GCUUCCGUAGGUGACGGAAAACAGCAUGGCUACUGUAGAUAUUGUAAGUGGAACAUAUUGCUGAGGCAAAUAACGUUUUUUUGUGUGAAAUAAGUGAAAACGGCAUACCAUCUAGUGCUGUCGGAGCAGGAGAAUUAACAAUGCCUCGAUACGCGCAACUAGUGAUGGGUCCUGCCGGAAGUGGAAAGAGUACUUACUGUGCCACAAUGUUAGAGCAUUGUCAUGCCCUCGACCGAUCUGUACAGGUGGUGAAUCUGGAUCCAGCUGCAGAGCAUUUUGAGUAUCCUGUCAUGGCAGAUUGAUGAUUACAGUAUGGUUCGUUUCCUGCCCUUUGACCGCGCUGAUGAGGAGGGCAUCAACAUUGUCCUGCAGCACAUUGAUUUCUCCAUACAAUAUGGUGAAGACCUGGAGUUUAAAGAGCCCAAGGAAAUUGAUGGGGAACCCAGUAACACAAAUUUUGAUGAGUUCUUCCAAGACGGAGACGAUUCUUGGGAUCACACUUGAAAGCCAGCCAGAUUUGUUCAAUUAAGAGUUUCAUUUAUUUAAACUAUAUUUUGUGUCACUGUCAUUCAUAAUGUCAUUAGAUGAAGGAUGCAACCAUAACCUGUGCAAUGCCUCUUGAUCUUAACAGAGUUUUAUAAAAAUGUAAUCCAUUUUUUAAAA